AUCUCUCUGUCUGUAAGAAUACCUAUGAUCAAUUAUUAAAACUUUGUAAAGCUCUCUGUAUAAGAAUUUAUAUGGCGCUCUUAUAUAGCACUCUCUAAAUAAGAACUGGAGCUGUGAUAACAAAUGGGAUCCAAACAACGUGAGGUUAAAGCUGUGACUGCACCCAGACAAAUCAGUGAAGCUGAAAUGUUACUAUCCUUUAACCCUUUGACAUCCAUGCUGCUUCCUUACUCCAGCCAGUGGAUGGUAGGAUUUAAGGUUAUUUUACAGAGGUAUGUGUGUGGCUGAUGUAGUUAAAGGGUUACUCCAACCAAGAACCAGUGUUUUAGGAAAACAGUUGCUGUACUGGUUCCCCUGGACAGUUCUCUUCUAAGCCUGCCCUUCUUCCACUGACGUCACUUCCUGUCGCUGCCAGGGGAGGGAUGUAGAUGGAUGAUGGGCUGUGCAGUGUAUGUUGACUUCAUAUGUCCGAUAUGAACAUAAUUCACAUUAGCUACCAGGAACUCUUGUUACGGUCUGGUUAAUGAUAUCCCAAUGAUGCUGCUGGAGGUGGUUAAACGCAUAGUGAAAUGCUACACAUACAGGCACCAUGACCACUUCAAAUCACUGAAGUGAUCAUGGUGAUUUGAACAAUUUUUUAAAGACGAGUUCGUAGAGCAACACUGUUGAUGAAAUUACCAAAACCCUUAGAUGAAAGCACAUAAUUAAAAAAAAAUUGCAAAUCCUAGUUAAUAGGAAUUCAUACUACUUAACGCAUGACUGCAUUUACAUUGUUGCUCUAAGAGGGUCAACAUGCCAGUUCUUAACUAAUAACUCAUCUCAUAAAACAUACACUAAUCCAUGACACUAGUUGCAGACCUUUCCAGAGUUUACAACUAACUAUAUACCCCAAAGCGACAUAUUAC